CCUACGGGCGGCAGCAGUGAGGAAUAUUGGUCAAUGGACGAGAGUCUGAACCAGCCAAGUAGCGUGAAGGAUGAAUGCCCUCUGGUUUUUAAACUUUUUUUAUAAGGGCAUAAAACGAGACGCGUGUUCCUGUAUACGUGUCCUUUAUGAAUGUGGAUCGGCUAACUCCGUGCCAGCAGCGGCGGUAAUACGGAGGAUCCGAGCGUUAUCCGGGUUUAGUGGGUUUAAGGGGAGGGUAGAUGGGUCUUUAAGUCAGUUGUGAAAGUUUGCGGCUCAACCUUAAAAUUGCAAUUGAAACUGGAGGUCUUGAGUACUGUUGAGGUAGGCGGAAUUCGUGGUGUAGCGGUGAAAUGCGUAGAUAUUACGAAGAACCCCGAUUGCGAAGGCAGUUUACUAAACUGUGACUGACAUUGAUGCGCGAAAGUGUGGGUAUCAAACAGGAUUAGAUACCCGAGUAGUC
rnacentral:rRNA from 1 species